GGUUAAGCGACUAAGCGUACACGGUGGAUGCCCUGGCAGUCAGAGGCGAUGAAGGGCGUGCUAAUCUGCGAUAAGCGCCGGUAAGGUGAUAUGAACCGUUAUAACCGGCGAUACCCGAAUGGGGAAACCCAGUGUGAUUCGUCACACUAUCAUUAACUGAAUCCAUAGGUUAAUGAGGCGAACCGGGGGAACUGAAACAUCUAAGUACCCCGAGGAAAAGAAAUCAACCGAGAUUCCCCCAGUAGCGGCGAGCGAACGGGGAGGAGCCCAGAGCCUGAAUCAGCAUGUGUGUUAGUGGAAGCGUCUGGAAAGGCGCGCGAUACAGGGUGACAGCCCCGUACACAAAAGCGCAUGUGCUGUGAGCUCGAUGAGUAGGGCGGGACACGUGGUAUCCUGUCUGAAUAUGGGGGGACCAUCCUCCAAGGCUAAAUACUCCUGACUGACCGAUAGUGAACCAGUACCGUGAGGGAAAGGCGAAAAGAACCCCGGCGAGGGGAGUGAAAAAGAACCUGAAACCGUGUACGUACAAGCAGUGGGAGCACAGGUUUACCUGUGUGACUGCGUACCUUUUGUAUAAUGGGUCAGCGACUUAUAUUCUGUAGCAAGGUUAACCGAAUAGGGGAGCCGGAGGGAAACCGAGUCUUAAUUGGGCGUUAAGUUGCAGGGUAUAGACCCGAAACCCGGUGAUCUAGCCAUGGGCAGGUUGAAGGUUGGGUAACACUAACUGGAGGACCGAACCGACUAAUGUUGAAAAAUUAGCGGAUGACCUGUGGCUGGGGGUGAAAGGCCAAUCAAACCGGGAGAUAGCUGGUUCUCCCCGAAAGCUAUUUAGGUAGCGCCUCGUGAAUUCAUCUCCGGGGGUAGAGCACUGUUUCGGCUAGGGGGCCAUCCCGGCUUACCAACCCGAUGCAAACUGCGAAUACCGGAGAAUGUUAUCACGGGAGACACACGGCGGGUGCUAACGUCCGUCGUGAAGAGGGAAACAACCCAGACCGCCAGCUAAGGUCCCAAAGUCAUGGUUAAGUGGGAAACGAUGUGGGAAGGCCCAGACAGCCAGGAUGUUGGCUUAGAAGCAGCCAUCAUUUAAAGAAAGCGUAAUAGCUCACUGGUCGAGUCGGCCUGCGCGGAAGAUGUAACGGGGCUAAACCAUGCACCGAAGCUGCGGCAGCGAACGUAUCACCCAAGACAACUUUACGGAGUUGACGAUUGACGGAGCGAAGCGACGUCAAAGCGUUCAUUAAAGUCGAGUUGGCUUAGGGAUACGUUCGUUGGGUAGGGGAGCGUUCUGUAAGCCUGUGAAGGUGUGUCGUGAGGCAUGCUGGAGGUAUCAGAAGUGCGAAUGCUGACAUAAGUAACGAUAAAGCGGGUGAAAAGCCCGCUCGCCGGAAGACCAAGGGUUCCUGUCCAACGUUAAUCGGGGCAGGGUGAGUCGACCCCUAAGGCGAGGCCGAAAGGCGUAGUCGAUGGGAAACGGGUUAAUAUUCCCGUACUUGGUGUUACUGCGAAGGGGGGACGGAGAAGGCUAUGUUGGCCGGGCGACGGUUGUCCCGGUUUAAGCGUGUAGGUGUGUGUUCCAGGUAAAUCCGGUUCACUUUAACACUGAGGCGUGACGACGAGGCACUACGGUGCUGAAGCAACAAAUGCCCUGCUUCCAGGAAAAGCCUCUAAGCAUCAGGUAACAUCAAAUCGUACCCCAAACCGACACAGGUGGUCAGGUAGAGAAUACCAAGGCGCUUGAGAGAACUCGGGUGAAGGAACUAGGCAAAAUGGUGCCGUAACUUCGGGAGAAGGCACGCUGACACGUAGGUGAAGUGAUUUACUCAUGGAGCUGAAGUCAGUCGAAGAUACCAGCUGGCUGCAACUGUUUAUUAAAAACACAGCACUGUGCAAACACGAAAGUGGACGUAUACGGUGUGACGCCUGCCCGGUGCCGGAAGGUUAAUUGAUGGGGUCAGCGCAAGCGAAGCUCCUGAUCGAAGCCCCGGUAAACGGCGGCCGUAACUAUAACGGUCCUAAGGUAGCGAAAUUCCUUGUCGGGUAAGUUCCGACCUGCACGAAUGGCGUAAUGAUGGCCAGGCUGUCUCCACCCGAGACUCAGUGAAAUUGAACUCGCUGUGAAGAUGCAGUGUACCCGCGGCAAGACGGAAAGACCCCGUGAACCUUUACUAUAGCUUGACACUGAACAUUGAGCCUUGAUGUGUAGGAUAGGUGGGAGGCUUUGAAGUGUGGACGCCAGUCUGCAUGGAGCCGACCUUGAAAUACCACCCUUUAAUGUUUGAUGUUCUAACGUGGACCCGUAAUCCGGGUUGCGGACAGUGUCUGGUGGGUAGUUUGACUGGGGCGGUCUCCUCCUAAAGAGUAACGGAGGAGCACGAAGGUUGGCUAAUCCUGGUCGGACAUCAGGAGGUUAGUGCAAUGGCAUAAGCCAGCUUGACUGCGAGCGUGACGGCGCGAGCAGGUGCGAAAGCAGGUCAUAGUGAUCCGGUGGUUCUGAAUGGAAGGGCCAUCGCUCAACGGAUAAAAGGUACUCCGGGGAUAACAGGCUGAUACCGCCCAAGAGUUCAUAUCGACGGCGGUGUUUGGCACCUCGAUGUCGGCUCAUCACAUCCUGGGGCUGAAGUAGGUCCCAAGGGUAUGGCUGUUCGCCAUUUAAAGUGGUACGCGAGCUGGGUUUAGAACGUCGUGAGACAGUUCGGUCCCUAUCUGCCGUGGGCGCUGGAGAACUGAGGGGGGCUGCUCCUAGUACGAGAGGACCGGAGUGGACGCAUCACUGGUGUUCGGGUUGUCAUGCCAAUGGCACUGCCCGGUAGCUAAAUGCGGAAGAGAUAAGUGCUGAAAGCAUCUAAGCACGAAACUUGCCCCGAGAUGAGUUCUCCCUGAGACUUAGAGUCUCCUGAAGGAACGUUGAAGACGACGACGUUGAUAGGCCGGGUGUGUAAGCGCAGCGAUGCGUUGAGCUAACCGGUACUAAUGAACCGUGAGGCUUAACCUU
rnacentral:rRNA from 3 species